rnacentral:tRNA from 1 species
GGAGGGUUGGCUGAGUAUGGCUUAAGGCGCUGGUCUUGAAAACCAGUUGGGGAGCAAUCCCCUCGCAGGUUCAAAUCCUGCACCCUCCG